UACAGAGGGGGCAAGCGUUGUUCGGAAUUACUGGGCGUAAAGGGCGCGUAGGCGGCCUGCUAAGUCGAACGUGAAAUCCCUGGGCUCAACCCAGGAACUGCGUCCGAUACUGGUUGGCUUGAAUCCGGGAGAGGGAUGUGGAAUUCCAGGUGUAGCGGUGAAAUGCGUAGAUAUCUGGAGGAACACCGGUGGCGAAGGCGACAUCCUGGACCGGUAUUGACGCUGAGGCGCGAAAAGCCAGGGGAGCCAAAGCGGG
rnacentral:rRNA from 1 species